ensembl:misc_RNA 7SK 7SK RNA
AGAUGUGAGGACGAUCUGGCUGCGACAUCUGUCACCCCAUUGACUGCCAGGGUUGAUUCGGCUGAUCUGGCUGGCUAGGCGGGUGUCCUGAAGCUGCACGCUCCUCGCUCCUCGGUCAAAGAGGACGGCCUUCCCCAAAUAGAGAUGCCGGGUCUCUAUUUGGGGAAGGCCAUCCUCUAGCUGCACUCCCCUGCGAGAACCUCCAAACAAGCUUUCAAGUUCCCUUGUCCUUCCUCCACCACCAAGCAGACAGUGCACGAACUAGGCGCUCAAUAAAUAUUUGCUGGAAAGAAGGCAGGGUCGUUCCUG